rnacentral:sRNA from 1 species
UAGGUCAUUUCGGCGGCACUGACGCCUGA